rnacentral:misc_RNA from 1 species
AAAGUCGUAACAAGGUAACCGUAGGUGAACCUGCGGUUGGAUCAUUAAUGAUUACUGCUCUUUUGGGUCGAGCUUGGGGUAACCUAGGCUCCUCAACUGUAGCUUUUCACACUUUGUGCACUAAGAUUGUAUUUUGGGCAUAGUCUCUAUGCCCAGCCUUUUAAAACCUCUUUAAUUUAUACUGAUUUUAUUUUUAAAAAAAUAACAACUUUUGACAACGGAUCUCUUGGCUCUC